CAAGUAGAUACAGAUCAGUUCAGUAUACUUGGAUCUCUGAAUUCAGUAAAAGUAUAGUAACAAUAAAGUAUAUUUGGUCGGGUAAAAUAGACUUUAUCCCUGCUUGCUUUCGUCUAGCCUUUUCCGAAUCCUUUCGUUUAGCUUUUCCUGAGGAUAUUUGCUCUCUUUAAACCUAUUUGAAACACAAUGACAUUAAUAAAACCAAACGCAUUAAUUGUGUAUAUUAAUAAAUAGUUGCCUGUUGUUCUGGAAUAGGUGAAAUUUCUCUAGUUCCAUCAAAAUCAUUAUAGUCACAAUCAACAUACUGCUCCAUUGGUGUGAUUUCUGGCUGGGCAUCCUAUGGUGUGACAGAUUCCAUGAUCACAUCGUCAAUCUAUGGGGAAAUAUUAGUUGCAAGUUGGGUAUUAAAUAUACAAUGGCCUUAUGCAUUCUUAUUUAUAUUUGCGACUACCUGAACUGUUUCAAUAUCUGGACACCAUUUGAGGUUCCCAGGGAACAAUCAACCAUUUUGCCUGCGUUUUAAACAUGCAAUGGUUUCCACACAAUUUUUUAUGAUUAUUAUUGUUAUUAUUAUAUAAAGGGUUCUUGGUUAUUGUAUUGACAUUGGAGCUAAUGAUUGGAUAGUUAUGGUCCGCAGCCAGUUGAAAGAGCACUGGCUUUAUUUUUUUUUCAAUGUCUUUGACACAGGCCAACGCCUUGGCUGACUUUGCCAACCUAGGUGGGCAGAAUCAGCCAAUGUUGGUUAUUCAUUAAUAAAUUUAGUCAAUACGAAUAGGUGUUAGUAAUAGCAGUAAUUCAGCAUUCCCUACAGAUGCUUCUGUUUGUCACGCCGACUGAAAGGUUUUCUUACGCAGACACAGUUUUAGUUGACCAGUUUGAUAUUAAACCUGACAUUACUCUGACAAAAACAAUUAACAUUCCGCUACCAUACAAAACAAGAUGAAAUGGAACUCUUUUUUUUUCAUGCCUUUCUGGCAAAAAAAUCACAGCAGUGGAACUCAGAUGAAUGGACUCAGGCUUUACAGGACCCUACCACAAGCUAUGCUGCAACAGUCCUUUCUGUCUAUCAAACACCUGUUCAAGAAUCAUUCAAUUUGAUUAGAGAUAAAGAAUAUCUUGAAAAAGAGAAAAAAGAAAAACCAGUGACCCACAUCUAUUCCAAGUUAGUUUUGAAUAUAUUGGAUCACAAAGAUUCUUCGUAAAGCGUCCCGCAAUACUAUAAUAAAAAAAGAAAAAAAAAAUUAAAAUAAACAAAACAAUUAAAUAUUUCU